rnacentral:rRNA from 1 species
AUGCUUAGUUUAACCUGUAUAUGUUUUGAUUCUGUUCUUUAUCCAACUAGUCAUUUCUUUGCCAAAUUGGCCGAAGCUUAUGCUAUUUUCAAUCCAAUAAUGGAUAUUAUGCUUGUAAUACCUCUAUUCUUUUUUCUAGCAGACCAUCCAUGGUUCUUGGGCCAAAUCCGUACCAACUCCUGA